rnacentral:lncRNA from 1 species
AAAUAGAGUAAAAGGGUAAGUCCCCAAGACACUGCUUAAUGGUUGCAAUGCCGCUCUCAACUUCGGAAAGGGACAAGCAGUAUUCUCCAAUAAUCCAAAGAGCGCAAGAACAAACCCGUGCAGCUUGAAUCUGGUAGAACGUGUCAAGCAGCCUGGUGACUAUGGAAACCCUUAAUUUUGGGUUUGUUUCAAUAAUUUCUCGCACGAAAACAACCACAUCCAUUGCAGAAGCAACGUUGCUGUCACCCAAGAAAAUCCAUCAAUAGGUGGACCACAGUGCUUGCAACUUCUGGGAAUUUUAUAGCACAGGAAUGAAUGGCUUGAAUGAGCAUUUGACGGUACUCCCCAUUCUUCUCCAGCUCCCCACUUUGAGUUUUCACAACUUCUUUCUUAAGAGUGAGAACAACCUCAUUGACAUUUCGUGGCGUGAUCAAAUCAAGAACUAUAUCAAGUGUUUUCCUCCGAAUGUCAAGGUUCGGGCUUGAAAGUGCCCUAAGAACAUCCAUUAUCAAAUCAAACAUAAUGUCCCUGUGAGAUGAUUUGAGUUCAUUCAGACGAUCAAGCACAAUAAGUUUGACGUUGUUGUCACUCUGAGACAGAAGAAGCUGGCAGUAGGUAUUGGCAGCAGCCCUGAUAGCCGUAGGAGCAGAAGACAAAGAAACAAGAGUUCCAGCACAUUCAUAAAUAACAGCAGCAGAAGGGGCGUUUAGCAGAGAGAUAAUAAUCUUAAUGUACUUCCCUUUCUCUGCCUUGUUCGUUCUACAGACUUUCCUGACCAACUCCAGGACUACCAUCUGAAGCAACUCUCCCCAGUCUGGUACUCUGAACCAUUAAGCUUCUUUAGUUCUGUUGCAAUUUCCAUCAGCUGCCGUGUAGGGUAAGUGGUUUCGUUGGCAAUGCCUUUGUUUUUCUCAAUGAAUUUAAAGGCACCUUCCAUGAGGCCGCCGUUGCAGCCCGGAUCUUCACUUGUUCUGUCGCAAUCCACUAGUUCUUGCUUAGACAGUGAUAUCAACUUCCCGGUACUCAGUUUUGUAAUCCCCUCAGUUGCUGCAACUGCCGAAAAUGCCCAGCAACUCUCUGCUAAUCAGAAGCAAAUAUAUAUAUAUAUAUAUAUGAAAAACUAAGUAUACCUUUCCUCACAAACCGAUUGGUGUUAAAAUUAAAACACCAGAUAAAUAAUUACUUUGUUCAUACAACCAGAGGGGGCUUAAAUUUUUACCGCAAUGUCCCUGAUCCUUAAUCGGUGUGACUGCACCUUUCUUCCUCCAGUCGACGGUAGCUGGCACUGGAGUCACAUUUUCAUACUUGAAAGGUGUACUUGUGAACAACUUUGGUGAAAAGGGUCUCUUCAGUCCAUUAUGAGUAGCAACAAACUCCUCAUUGGUAAGGUCUGCAAAUUGAUUGAUGCCGAGCUUGUAAGGCUUGUUUCCAGCCUUGUUAAAACCUUCAAUGAACUCUACAUUGUUCUUGAAUAUCGGGGAACGCAUUUCCUUCUCUGCAUCGUCCUUGUAUACGCGUCCAUGGAGCCUCAUCCAUUGUUCAUAUCUCUCCAUCAUUGCCUCUUCGUUUAGCGUGCGUGCUGAACUUUGAGUUGUUAGCAAUCCCAAAAUAAACAAUAAACCAAUAGCUGCUCUCAUUGUGAAUAAUCAAUCUUAAUGUUGCUUCAGCUACUGGUGUUCUAGAGGCCGUCCUGGAGCUAUGUAUAUAUGCAGAGCAGAAGAUGAAUUCGCUUUCUCAUGUAAAAUGUGUUUUCCAUGCAUGUAACAUGAGAAUCUGUCAAGAUUUAGUUAAAAUCUAGGUUUGCCCGGGCAAAUCGUGCUCCGGUGACUUCGAAAAUAUAGCUGGUAGCGGUUCGCAGAUGUUGACUGGUUCCACGAUCAUGUUACUCCAGAGUCAUCAGGCUAAUGUCUUAAUGAAGGUUUUUGAGUUUUCUCGUCUCAAGUAAACAUCUUUUAAUUAGUGCUGGCAGAAUCUUCUAAAAUUUAUGUACGAGGAUUAAUAGGUUUAGAUUUUAAUAUAUUCAUACGUUUUUAAUAAUAAAAAAUAGAAUGUCUUAAUUAAAUAAAUGAUUUGAAUUGUUUAGACGUAUCUUAAUCAAAACAAUAAGUGAUAAACUAACAACUUAUCACUUAGUACAGAAUACAUGCAAAUGUUAAGAAUUCAGUACUUAAUGAUUUAGUAAUUUGAUUCUCUCAAAUUUCAAUUUUAUCAAACGCGCUCUAAGUGUGAAAACAGAUUAAAAUUAGUGAGUUCCUUAUGAUUUCAUCCAAUUGCAUCUUAAAGUAGAGUAAAUUGCACUUGCUAGUUUUAGGUUUAUUUUAACAAUUUUUUUUUUUUUUUUUUUUUUUUUUUGGCUAUAGGAGUACAAGAUUACAAUCAAAACCCAUAAUUGUAACAUUAAGUACAACUAAGGAUAAUUACAUAUGUAGUCCAACUGGCUAACAUUGCAAAUAAAUGGACAAUCCACUCAAAUAGUGAAAAACAACAACCGGCGCAUAAUACUAGAACAAAUUUUAAGAUUCGGAAACGAGCUCCGCUUCUUGGCCCUAGCCAAUUGGGAUAUAACCCAACUGAUUUAUUUUGCCUGGGUUGUCCACCUGAUUUUUAAAGUGGAGAACAAAAUGUGUAUCUUCAUGUAAACUCAUAAAAGAAAGGCAAAAACAAGAAAAAACUUGGCAAGAAAUUUCAAACCAAAAAAAAAAAAAAAUCAAGUACAUAAAACUUUUAAAUUAACUUAGCUACGGAAGGAAGAAAAUCCAAGGCAUAUAGCCUAGGGAAGUUUUAAAAAUACAUGCGUAAUAUUUUGUUAGCUAUCCAAUAGUGAGGUUUAAUUACUCCAUAACAAUAAUGUAAAUGACUAUUAACUUGUCUCUUGGUUUUUUAUUCCCAAAUUCUUUUCCAUCUUAUAGUCAUACCACCAUAACCUCAUCUUCGUAAUUUUUCUAAAGCAAUCUUCAAUCUUUGUAAUUAUUAGUUGUAUAUGCCUGGAAUAGAUUUGAAUUAUAUUUUUAAUAGCUAAGUUUUUUCAAAUAAUAUUCCGUUUGCAAUAUAACACAUUUCCCAGCUCACCUUUUAUAUUCCCUAUCCACCUUUUUAUUUCACAUGCAUCACAUCACAAAAAGUGUUACAGUAAUUAUUUCAAAUAAUACUCUAUCCAAACACACUUAAUUGUUGACAUAAUUUCUUAAUGUAAUACUCUUAACUAUUAACAAUUAAUUUAUCAUAUGAUCUAACCCGCUUUUAUAUAUGCGUUUAAACCAAUUAAUCACUAAUAGAGUUUGCUUUAUCAUAUAAGCAACUAAGAAAUAAACAAGGUACAAUAGAUGUCAUGAGACAACGGAGGAAGGAAAGGAAAAGGAAAACAAAAACAUAGAGAGGCAAAUUAACUAGGCACUUAAAGUUUAAGGAUAUAAAGAUCAUUUUGUCACAUUAUUGAAAUAAAAAAAAAAGAAACCAAUAGUAGUAAACUUCAACUAUUAGUCUUUGGGGAAAAUUGAUGAUAAAUAAAAAUUUGGUGGGACUAUGUGCAUGACACCUCCAACCCUAAGGGGGUUAUGUGCAAUUUAGGCCUCAUAGUAAUAUUGAACUACAAUUUCAAGUACUUGUCAUUGUCAAAUAGUUACCAUCUCCGUACGUUAUUCAACAAGGUUGUCCAAUUCACCAGUCACCACAGCAUAAUUUGUCCGGCAAGCUGAGAAAUUGAACUCUUCCGCUCACACUAUUACAUGAAAACAUCAAUUUUGGAAGGAGCAUCAAUGAGCAUAAGCACCUUCUGCUCUCUCUCUAUAUAUUCCUAGCUCUGCAAUGGACCAAAGCACCAAUAGGCCAAGCAACAUUUUCAAGCCACACAAUCAAUAAAACAAAAUGAAAGUAGUCAUUGGUUUCUUUUUCCUUUUGGGAUUGCUGGCAAUCCAAGGUGCAGCGCGUAACCUGAAUGAUGAGGCCAUGGUAGAGAGAUAUGAGCAGUGGAUGAGCCUCCACGGACGCGUAUACAAGGACAGUGCAGAGAAAGAAAGGCGUUUCAAGAUAUUCAAGGACAAUGUGGAGUUCAUUGAAUCUUUUAAUAGGGCUGGAAACAGGCCUUACAAGCUUGGAAUCAAUCAAUUCGCAGACCUUACCAACGAGGAGUUUGUUGCCUCUCAUAAUGGAUUGAAGAUGUCCUCCUCGCCAAGGCUGUUCAGGAGUACAUCAUUCAAGUACGAAAAUGUGACUGCUGUGCCUGCUACCGUGGACUGGAGGACCAAAGGUGCAGUCACUCCAAUUAAGGAUCAAGGACAAUGUGGUAAUCAAAUUUAAGCCACUCUAUAAUCUUUACAUUACUAUCACAUUCUCAAUUAAUAAAUGAUAGCAGUAAAUCUGAAAAGGGCAUGGUUUUCUCAUAUAUAUAUAUAUUUGUAAUUUGCUUCUGAUUUGCAGGAAGUUGCUGGGCAUUUUCAGCAAUUGCAGCGACUGAAGGGAUUACAAAACUGAGUACCGGUAAGUUGAUUUCACUCUCUGAGCAAGAAAUAGUGGACUGCGACAGAACAAGUCAAGAUCAGGGCUGCAGUGGUGGCUACAUGGAAGAUGCCUUCGAAUUCAUCGUGAAAAACAAAGGCAUUGCCACUGAAACCACUUACCCAUACACGGCAGCUGAUGGAACUUGCAGCAAAACUAAAGAAGCUUCCCACGCAGCCAAGAUCGCUCGUUAUGAAAAGGUGCCCGCCAACAGCGAAGCAGCAUUGUUGAAAGCUGUGGCAAACCAACCAGUUUCUGUUUCCAUCGAUGCUGGUGGGAUGGCAUUCCAAUUCUACUCCAGCGGAGUUUUCACAGGAGAUUGUGGAACGGAUCUAGACCAUGGUGUUACUGCAGUAGGAUAUGGGAAAACUUCUAAUGGUACAAAGUAUUGGUUGGUCAAGAACUCAUGGGGAACAAGCUGGGGUGAGAGUGGAUAUAUAAAGAUGAAACGGGGCAUUACUGCUAAAGAAGGCCUUUGUGGAAUUGCUAUGGAUUCUUCCUACCCUACUGCAUAAAUUGAGGGGCGAAUUUCCAUCUGGAUCGUUGCUAUGGCUUAGCUAAUUCAUCUUGUUAAAUGUUGCCGUGUCUCUCCGCUAAAUUAUGUAAAUAUGAUAAAGCAGUCUUAUCUGUGCAUAAAACUUGAUUGAUGAAAUAUCCCUAUCUUCCCUAAUUCUGUGUAUAUGUCAAAAUCUAUAUCUGAGAUGAUGAAAUCAAACGAAACUUAAAAAAAAAAAAAGAAAAUAAAUUCAUGGUAACACUGCAAGAAAAGUAGUUUGUCUUUGUGACCCCCUUGUGUGUUACAUCUGAAAGAAAGGAUGCCAGCUGGAAUCGUAGUGCCAGGAGUUGUUAUGCCACAUCAGACGGGUGGUUGAGUUAGUUACGCCAUGUCAGCUGUUCUGUUAGGUAGUUAGGAGCCGGAAAUAGAAGGAGUGUGCAGAAAGGGAAAGUUUGGGCAGGAAGGCGGUUAGCUGAAAAUGGAAAGGUUGCGGAAUUAGAAGGCGGUUAGCUGAAGUAGUAUAAAAGCAGUUGUGGGUAUGCGAGGAAGGGUAGUCAGAAGUAUUGUUUCCAAUUGUAUUCAUUCCCAUUCUCUGUUCUUUUUCUCUGCAAUAACAUUUGCUCUCUCACUCGAGUUGUCUUCUCCAAAUUGCAACUCCUGUUUGAGAGUAUUUCCCAGUGAUCUCACUAUCCUCCGUAACAGUGGUAUCAGAGCUGGGGACAGACCAGCUCGCAUAACAAUGGCGGAGGGUACUAGAUCGCAGGAUAACCGAAAGUUUGAGGAGAGCGUCAAAGCCAUGAUGAAGGAGCAGAAGGAGCAGUUCGAGCAAGAGAUGACAGCCCUCAGGAAUUUGGUACUGGAAUUACACUCUCAAAGAGGACAAUCUGCGAGGAACUCACCGUCGGAAAUUGAAGUACCACAGGGGAGAACCUACCAAGUUCCUACGCGUUUUUCUCGGCUGGAAUUUCCUAGAUUCCAUGGGGAAGAUUUCCAGGGAUGGCUGUUCAAGACCGAACAGUUCUUUGAGGUGGAUGAGACACCAGUUCAGAUGAGAGUAAAAAUGGUUGCGAUGAAUUUGGAGGGGAAGGCUCUCCAAUGGCAUCAGAUCUUCAUGCGAUCACGUAUCACGAGAGAUUUACCUGCUUGGGAAGAAUAUAUCAAGGAGAUGGCUUCCAGAUUUGGAGGAUGUUUGUAUGAUGACCCAAUGGGGGAGUUAAAGGCUUUGAAACAAGAAGGUUCAGUCCUGGAGUACCAAGAGCAGUUUGAAGAGCUGCUAAAUAGGGUAGAGCUCCCUGAAGAUUAUGCCACUAGCUGCUUUCUCAGUGGUCUGAAGACUGAGAUCCAGCUAGCGGUCAGGAUGUUUAUGCCUAAAACGCUGCAACAUGCCAGAACCUUAGCUAAAUUGGAGGAGGCCAAAAUUUUGACGCAGCAAAAGAAGGGAGUGGUCAAAACAGGAUUCUUCUCUGGCGGGGAGGAUAGGUGGAGAAGAGAAAGAAACUCUGAAGGAUUAUGGAAGAAGGAGAUCAGCAAUGAUCGACCUUGGAGGAGAGAGGAUAAGGCGUUGCUGCCCACUCCUAGCCAGGAAAAGGGUGAAAAGGCUCCAGAAGGCUACACCAGGAGACCAUUCAAGAGACUGACCUCCACUGAGAUGGACGAAAAGCGAGCAAAAGGUCUUUGUUUCUGGUGUGAUGAAAGAUAUGGAAUUGGCCACAGGUGUAAGAACAGACAGUUUUUUCGAUUGGAGGUAUGCGCAGAAGAUGACUGUGAGGAACUGGAAGUGGAAUCGGAAGAGGAGGGGGAAGCAGUCCAGGGUAACUUAGCUCACAUUUCUUUAAAUGCUAUGACUCUUACUGCUGUCCCUAAGUUUAGAACAAUGAGGGUGACUGGUCACGUAGGAAGGACCCCCGUAAAUAUUUUUAUUGACUGUGGAAGCUCUCACAACUUUGUUCAUCCAGAUUUAAUUAGCAAACUGGGGCUGAGGGUGCAAGAGGUACCAUCUCUUGUAGUGGAGGUAGCUGACGGUAACAAAAUCAACACUAACAGGUUGUGCCCCAACUUCACUUGGAAAAUGCACAAUCAAAUGUUUAAGGUCGAUGCCAUGGUGCUGCCUGUGGGAGGUUGUGAGUUGGUACUGGGGGUGCAGUGGCUGUCGACAUUGGGGGAUAUUAAGUGGAACUUUGGCGAGCUGACAAUGGAAUUUCUGAGGGGGAAAAGGAAGAUAGUGCUACGAGGGAAGGGUCAGCAGGCUAUUCAACUAGUGAAAAGGAGGACCAUGCAGAGAAUACUCCAAAAGCCUGAGCAGGUGGCUUCUGCGCAAUUGUGCUUUAUUGUACCUGUACAGGCAGCAUCAAAGGAGCAAGCAGGCAGCUGUUGUAGGUUGGAGGGGAAUUCUCAGGUAGCAGAUUCUACCUAUGCUCCUGAAGCAAAUGACCUGCAUGAGCUGUUAACGAAGUUUGAGGACAUUUUCGAAGAGCCUUCUGAACUCCCUCCACACCGAAGUCACGACCAUCGAAUCAUACUCAAGGAAGGGACAACACCAGUGAAUGUGAGGCCUUACAGGUACCCUGUC